GUUGUCGUGGCCGAGUGGUUAAGGCGAUGGAUUUGAAGUCCAUUGGGGGCUACCCGCACAGGUUCAAAUCCUGCCGACAAUG
rnacentral:tRNA from 1 species